GACGAACGCUGGCGGUGUGCUUAACACAUGCAAGUGGAGCGACGAACCAGGGCUUGCCCUGGGGCAGAGCCGCGAACGGGUGAGUAACACGUGGGUAACCUACCCCGAUGACUGGGACAACCCGAGGAAACUCGGGCUAAUACCGGAUAUGUCCGACAUUCACGAGGAUGUCGAGCAAAGGAAGCUUCGGCCUCCGCAUUGGGAC
rnacentral:rRNA from 1 species